GGAGGUUCUUCUGAGGCUGCUGCCAGUGGUCAAAGCCUCCAACAAAGCUCUGUUGAGUGGCUGUAACCUCUCAGAGAGAAGCUGUGCAGCUCUGUCCUCAGUUCUCAGCUCCCAGUCCUCUAGUCUGAGAGAUCUGGACCUGAGUAACAACAACCUGCAGGAUUCAGGAGUGAAGCAGCUUUCUGCUGGACUGGAGAGUCCACACUGUGGACUGGAAACUCUCAGUCUGUCCGGAUGUCUGAUCACAGAGGAAGGCUGUGCUUCUCUGGCCUCAGCUCUGAGUGCCAACCCC